rnacentral:rRNA from 1 species
UGCAGUCGAACGGAACAGGACGCUGUGAACUCUUCGGAGUGAACUUGUCGCUGUCGAGUGGCGGACGGGUGAGUAAUGCAUAGGAAGUUGCCUCGAAGUGGGGGAUAGCCCGGAGAAAUCCGGAUUAAUACCGCAUGCGCUCUACGGAGCAAAGCGGGCCUCUGAUUUAAGCUCGCGCUUUGAGAUAUGCCUAUGUCGGAUUAGCUUGUUGGUAGGGUAAUGGCCUACCAAGGCGACGAUCCGUAGCUGGUUUGAGAGGAUGAUCAGCCACACUGGGACUGAGACACGGCCCAGACUCCUACGGGAGGCAGCAGUGGGGAAUAUUGCACAAUGGGCGCAAGCCUGAUGCAGCAAUGCCGCGUGUGUGAAGAAGGCCUGCGGGUUGUAAAGCACUUUUAUCGGGAAAGAAAUCCUUAGGGUUAAUAACUCUAGGGCUUGACGGUACCCGAGGAAUAAGCACCGGCUAACUCAGUGCCAGCAGCCGCGGUAAUACUGAGGGUGCAAGCGUUAAUCGGAAUUACUGGGCGUAAAGCGAGUGUAGGCGGCUUCGUAAGUCGGAUGUGAAAGCCCUGGGCUUAACCUGGGAAUGCCAUUCGAAACUGCGCGGCUAGAGUUUGGUAGGGGGAAGUGGAAUUCCAGGUG